rnacentral:snRNA from 1 species
AGCUUUGCGCAGUGGCAGUAUUGUAGCCAAUAAGGUUUAUCCGAGGCACAAUUAUUGCUAAUUAAAAAUAUGAAUAGGAAAAAGAAGAAAAUAGAAAAUACCAUCAUAGUCUAAUUGCCAGGAAUCACUACUUUUUAUAUUUUCAUCAGGAU